rnacentral:rRNA from 1 species
AGAGAAGCUUGCUUCUCUUGAGAGCGGCGGACGGGUGAGUAAUGCCUACGAAUCUGCCUGGUAGUGGGGGAUAACGUUCGGAAACGGACGCUAAUACCGCAUACGUCCUACGGGAGAAAGCAGGGGACCUUCGGGCCUUGCGCUAUCAGAUGAGCCUAGGUCGGAUUAGCUAGUUGGUGGGGUAAUGGCUCACCAAGGCGACGAUCCGUAACUGGUCUGAGAGGAUGAUCAGUCACACUGGAACUGAGACACGGUCCAGACUCCUACGGGAGGCAGCAGUGGGGAAUAUUGGACAAUGGGCGAAAGCCUGAUCCAGCCAUGCCGCGUGUGUGAAGAAGGUCUUCGGAUUGUAAAGCACUUUAAGUUGGGAGGAAGGGCCAUUACCUAAUACGUGAUGGUUUUGACGUUACCGACAGAAUAAGCACCGGCUAACUCUGUGCCAG